rnacentral:rRNA from 1 species
AUUGAACGCUGGCGGCAUGCCUUACACAUGCAAGUCGAACGGCAGCACGGGAGCAAUCCUGGUGGCGAGUGGCGAACGGGUGAGUAAAGUAUCGGAACGUGCCCAGUCGUGGGGGAUAACGUAGCGAAAGUUACGCUAAUACCGCAUACGAUCUAUGGAUGAAAGCGGGGGAUCGCAAGACCGCGCGCGAUUGGAGCGGGCGAUAGCAGAUUAGGUAGGUGGUGGGGUAAAGGCUCACCAAGCCGACGAUGUGUAGCUGGUCUGGGAGGACGACCAGCCACACUGGGACUGAGACACGGCCCAGACUCCUACGGGAGGCAGCAGUGGGGAAUUUUGGACAAUGGGCGAAAGCCUGAUCCAGCCAUGCCGCGUGCAGGAUGAAGGCCUUCGGGUUGUAAACUGCUUUUGUACGGAACGAAAAGGUUUGGCCUAAUAAGCUGAGCUCAUGACGGUACCGUAAGAAUAAGCACCGGCUAACUACGUGCCAGCCGCCGCCGUAA